GACGAACGCUGGCGGCGUGCUUAACACAUGCAAGUCGAACGGAAAGGCCCUGCUUUUGUGGGGUGCUCGAGUGGCGAACGGGUGAGUAACACGUGAGUAACCUGCCCUGGACUUUGGGAUAACUACAGGAAACUGGGGAUAAUACAGGAUAGGAGCUCCUGCGGGAGGGUGGGGGAGGGAAAGUUUCGGCGGUGGGGGAUGGACUCGCGGCUUAUCAGCGUGUUGGUGGGGUAGUGGCUUACCAAGGCUUUGACGGGUAGCCGGCCGGAGAGGGUGACCGGCCACAUUGGGACUGAGAUACGGCCCAGACUCCUACUGGAGGCAGCAGUGGGGAAUAUUGCACAAUGGGCGGAAGCCUGAUGCAGCAACGCCGCGUGCGGGAUGACGGCCUUCGGGUUGUAAACCGCUUUCGCCUGUGACGAAGCGUGAGUGACGGUAAUGGGUAAAGAAGCACCGGCUAACUACGUG
rnacentral:rRNA from 1 species